AGGCACUGCAUUCACACUCAGGAAUAUAAGUGAUCGCAGGCAUCAAUCAUCACAGAGUGCAUCAAAUAACAGAGUACUGCUUUUUUAAUAAAAUAAAAAAUAAAUAUAUUUUUAAAUUACAAUUACAAACACACAAUAUUGUAAAUAUCUAUGUGCUAUCUUAGAAUCACUCAACAUGUUUUAAAUAUCAACAGGCAAUCUUGGAAUGUAAUGGAAAGCAGGAGAGUUGUGCUGCAGCAGAUGUUUGUGAUCCCGCCCUCUGAGGACUGGACGGUCCCCACAGACUCAUGUCAUACAGGACUCCAGUGCUGUCCAUUCUGCUGGCUACGUUCACCGUGUUCCCCCAGAUGUCAUACUGUGGUUUCUGGGCUCCGAUGACUCCGGCUAUUACUGGACCGUGGUUGAUACCUGACAAAGGAAACCCAUCAGUCAACAUGACAGAUGCGUCAGUCCCAUAUUACAUGGAGGUUAGAUUAAAAUCAGCGAUCGCCCCCCAGGGCCGGCCAACCUGCAGACCUGCCGGGCCGAACACCACCAAACUGCCCCGGGAAGGAGAGCCCAGAUGAAAGCCGAGCUCAACCUGCGAGGCCCCGGGCGACUCCACUACCCAGCAUGCUGCUGGCUGUCUGGAUGACUGAAGAAGUGGGAUCUACAGAGGCCUGGCUCCAUCGUUCAUCCCGGAUCAAGCGUUUCACUCUGUGUUUUACGUCAUGAUGCUUGAUACUCGCAGACAUUAUUUUAAAUAAUUUUAGCAUGUCGGAUUAGUUUUUGUUGCUGCCGUUUGCAUUUCUUACGCCGUUUUUUUUCUCAAAA